rnacentral:lncRNA from 1 species
GGACUUAGGGAGCCUGACUUAUGAUGUUUCAACCAGAAUGCGGUUUGUGAACCUAUUUUUGCGGUUCUGGUGUAGUAUCUUGCAUUUUUUACCUGGUUACACUCGAAAAUGGACUGAAUAGCCUUCUUCAACAUUGUAUCCCUAUCUCUUAGCUUCGAAACGGUGUAUCUUACACCUCGAUCCGAUAAUCGUAGUGCCAGUGGUACCGAAACCGCAAACUGAUGUCAAAACUGUUUUUAUGGUUUAGAACUUAACUUUUCAUUUCCGGACAUUUCCCUAGCUUGAAUUGUACUUGUACUACUUGGAGCUCAUUGAACGGCUAUUGAAUGAAUUUAU